rnacentral:lncRNA from 10 species
CAGGAGGCUAGAUCAGGCAUCAGCCUCCCACUUAAAGAAUCAACAAGACACACCACGGGACAUAACCUCUUGGCAGCACAUUUACCAAAGCAGAAGUUAAGGCACAGAAUUCUACAACCAGAACUUUAACCAGACCCUCCAGGGUGGACUUCGACAUUCAGAGCCCAGUCCCUUGUGUGGUACAGAUACAUACUCUAUGCAUACAUGAAUAGAAAUCCCAAGAAUUUUGUGGGAAAACUGGACAGAAAAAACAAAACCAGAGAAGAAAGAAGGAGAGUGUGCAUAAGAAGAAUUGUGAAAGGUGACAUGCCCUACCAGUUAUAAUAAUUGCAACUAACACUGAUUGGCAGACAACUUCCCCUGAGCCAGGCACUAUUCUGAACACUUUAUUGGAAUUAGUUAUUUAAUAUUCAUAACAACCCUGUGGGUUAGGUACUGUUAUUAUCCCCUUUUUAUAGAUGAAGACAUUGAGGUAAUGGGCACAAGAUUAUUACAAAGUCGAUGGCAUCUGAACUAAACCCAGACUUUCAGUUUUGAGAGCCCACAUGCUUAACCCUGCUGCCAUCCUGUUAAGCCAUAAAAGCCACAGCAAUAAAAAGUAUGAUAUUGACACAGGAAUAGGUAAAUAGAACACAGGAAUAGAACAGAGUUCAGAAAUAGAUUCAUAGAAAAGGUGACAUUCCAAUUUAGUGGGAAAGGGUGGGAUAUUUAAUACAUGAUGUUGGCGUAAUGGGAUAUGCCUUUAGAAUAAAUCAAGGUUAUAUAUUAUCCUCAGACAACAUUUAAAAAUCUAGAUGGAUGGAAAGUGUAAACUCUAAGAAAAAUUAAGAAUAAAAAAAUUCAAGAGGAGCUCAAAGGUCAUAAAAAGAAAGACAGACACACUUGACUACAUGAAAAUGAAACAAAAUAAAAAUAAAAAUUAUAGACUGGAAAAAAUAUUUAUAUUACAUUUGAGAAAUAAAGGGCUUCUACAAAAUAGUAAGACAAAUAAAAAAUCUGAUAGGAAGAUGGGCAAAGUAUAUGAAGAGAAAAUUGACAGAACAGGAACUCAAAAAGUCCAACAAACAUAAGAAAUGUUAUUUAAUUUCCCAGAUAUCCGGGAAAAUUUAAAUUGUAUCAUCUUUCAGCCAUCAGAUUAGCAAAGCCUUUAAAAAGUGAUGGCAUUUAAUGUCAGAGAAGCUUUCAAGGGAUUCACUGUCUAAAGAGAAAGAUAGAUAUAUUUAAAAAAUAAAUCUGACUGAAAUACAUGCUGUCAUGCAUUACUGGUGUAUGAAUUACUAGGAGCUUUUUGAAAUAAAAUUAACAUUGUCUAUUAAGAUUUAAAGUCCACAUAGUAAUUGACUCAACAAAUACUUACUUAGAAGUCUGUCCCAUAAAAAUAAACACACACAAAAUUCAGGAUACACACAAGAAAGUGGUCAUUAAAGCAUUGUUUGUAUUGGGAGGGAAAAAAGGAAUAAAAACAAACUGAAUGUUCUACAAUAGGGAAAUGAUCGAAUGAAUUCCACUAUAUGCAAUAUUAUGCAGUUAUUUAAAAAUGUAUCAGAUCUAUAUUCAUUGAGCAAGAGAGAUAUCUUUGGGUAGAUGGCUAAAUUAAAAAAAAAAAGAAAGUUGCUGAAUAAUGUGAGUAGAAUGAUUCCAUAUUUACCAAAGUGAAGCAAAUGAAAAGUAAGCAAAUAAAACCCUUGUGGGUGUUCUGUGUUUGAUGGAGAAAGUGUGGAAGGAAAUAUAGUUAAGCUCCAAACCAGCUAAUAAAAGCCAAUUUAGCCAUAAAGUAAUGAGAAAUGUUAGCAAAAUAUUUUUUACAUCAUUUAACCAGGCUGUUCAGCUGUUCCUUGGGGAAGUGGGCAUGGAGGAAGGGGGUGGGGGGAGGUAAUGAAUGCCUUAUAUUGUUUAAUUAAAUGCUUUGUAUUGUUUCAUUUGUUACAAUGAGGAUAUACUACUUUUGUAAGUUAAAAAAGCCUCUUUGAGCACUCCAACCAUUGUGUUAUUUUCAUCUGACUCUCAUUAUGCCUUGAAAUGCUACUUAUAUUUUGUCAUUCCCUCUUCCUUUCUGAAGACAAAUUUUUAUCUCUCCAGGCCCAGGUCUAGAGCUACCCCACUAUGAAGCCUUUUUUGACUUGCUUACUAGGUAGACUUUCUUUGUACCCUAUGAUUUUCUUUACUAUUAAUUUAGCGCUGAUGUGGUUUGGCUCUGUGCCCCCACCCAAAUCUCAUCUCGAAUUGUAAUCCCCAUGUGUCGAGGGAGGGAUCUGUUGGGAGGUGAUUGGAUCUUGGGGGUGGUUUCCCCCAUGCUGUUUUUGUGACAGUGAGUGAGUUCUCAUGAGAUCUGAUAGUUUUAAAGUCUUUGGCAGUUUUUCCCUGCUCUCUCUCCUGCUGCCCUGUGAAGAAGUUUCCUGCUUCCUCUUCACCUUCUGCCAUGAUUGUAAAUUUCCUGAGGCCUCCCCAGCCAUGCAGC